UUAUAAUUAAUUAAAUAUACUAAUUAAAAUUAAUAUUAUUAUUAAUGAUUUUUAAAAAGUUUUUCUUUUGUAAAAUAUUUAUAAUUUGAUAUAAUAUUUAACCUUUAAUCACCAAAAAUACGAUAAAUUGUUAUAAAUAUAUUCAAAAAAAAUUUGUUUUAACUUCAAAAAUAAUUUGUAUAUUAAUUUAAUUAUAUAACUAAUUAAAUAUUAUUAAAUAAAAGUAAUUAAAUAAAAGUAUUAGUAUUAAAAAAGAGAGUAUUCCUAUAUGGUUGAUUUAAAAGUAUCACUCGAUUGUAUCGCUGAGGAGAAAAAAAUGUAUUGUUUUAAAAUUUUUAAUUACUCGGAAAGUUUGGGGUACGAAUGUCCGAUUUCAUACAAUCCCGCAGAUUUUUUUGUGACAACAAUGGCAAUUGUACCAAAGCACGAAGACAGCAAUGAUAGGGCAGCACAAAAAAUUUGCAUUCUUAUCAAGUGAUGUUUGUAAGGAGAUUGAUAUAACCGUUCAACUUGCAAUAUACGUUGCGGGAACUUUUGUGCAUGAACUAAAUCGAAAAAGAUUUAUAAUUUGUACGUGUAAUUAGAAAAUUAAAGAAAUUAUUACGUUAUUCAAAAAAUUCGAUAUUUUUUAGCCUACUACCGAAUUGUUGGUCGAGGAUUUAUGCAAGUUUUGCUGGAUCCAUCAAUUCAACUUCUUCGAAUUUUACAAAAAGUGAUUCCAGGAUUAAUUAUUGAGCCAAUAUUAUUUGUUGCGGUUAUUUACUCGUUGGCAGGCCUUCGACACACCAUGGAAGCUUUUGAUUUUACUUUGCUUGUUUUAAUUUUCACUAUGAAUGCUAAUAGUGUCAACGAAAUUAUUUCCAAACUCGCCUCGACAAAAUGUACGAACACAGUGACGAGUUUCAUUUGCUUCUAAAUUUUUAAAGGAUCCUCCGCUUUUAUUUUGUGAUUAGCCAACAUCAGUUUUUGACUCUUUUAUGGCACAUCAAGUUGUGUCUGUUUUAAAAGCUCUAACUGUUUAGGAACUGGUUAUCCAAGUAAUUUCAAUCCUGCGGAUUAUUUCAAACAAAUGUUGGCAAUUGUUCCUGGUCAAGAGAUAUCGUAUCGUCAACCGAUUAUUUCAAUUUGUGAUCGUCAAAAAGAUCAUCGCCAUAUAAAGACACGUGCUGCAAACAAUUUCACGCUGUUCUUUGGAGAUCGUGCCUUUCUGUCAUCAAAGAACCAAUUCUCAUAAAAAUUUGACUUCUCCAAACAGUGAUGAUCUUACUCCUAAUUGGAGUGAUUUUUUUUGGUCAACGAUUGGAUCAAGUAGCAGUAAUGAAUAUUAUUGGAGCAAAUUUUAUUUUUCUUACAAACAUGACUUUUCAAAAUCUAUUUGCUGUCAUUAGUGAGUUUUGUGCAGAGUUACCGAUUUUUUGCGAGAACAUCGUAAUGAAAAUGUUUUCUAAAUAUGUGUUCCACUAGUUUUAGAAAUUGGAUUUUGAAUCUGAAAAAAAUAAAUUUCAAUUAAUAAAUAUUAAUUAUGAGCUAUAUUUGC